rnacentral:rRNA from 1 species
UACGUAGGGUGCAAGCGUUAAUCGGAAUUACUGGGCGUAAAGCGUGCGCAGGCGGUGAGCUGUGUCCGAUGUGAAAGCCCCGGGCUUAACCUGGGAAUGGCAUUGGAAACUGGCUCGCUGGAGUGUGGCAGAGGGGGGUGGAAUUCCGCGUGUAGCAGUGAAAUGCGUAGAGAUGCGGAGGAACACCGAUGGCGAAGACAGCCCCCUGGGCUAACACUGACGCUCAGGCACGAAAGCGUGGGGAGCAAACAGG